rnacentral:misc_RNA from 1 species
UUUUCGUAGGUGAACCUGCGGAAGGAUCAUUAGUGAAUUUUUGGGAGUCCCUCUUAACCGGAGAAGGCCCAGUCCACUAUUUUACAAACCCUUUGUGCAUUUGUCCCUUUUUUAAUUACCUUUUUAACCCUUGUGCAUUUGAAACGGUUGUUGAUGUAAAUACUUUGAUUAUUGAAAGAAAAACUUUCAGCAAUGGAUCUCUUGGCUCUCGCAUCGAUGAAGAACGCAGC